CCUACGGGUGGCAGCAGUGAGGAAUAUUGGUCAAUGGACGAGAGUCUGAACCAGCCAAGUAGCGUGAAGGAUGACUGCCCUAUGGGUUGUAAACUUCUUUUAUAUGGGAAUAAAAUGUUCCACGUGUGGGAUUUUGUAUGUACCAUAUGAAUAAGGAUCGGCUAACUCCGUGCCAGCAGCCGCGGUAAUACGGAGGAUCCGAGCGUUAUCCGGAUUUAUUGGGUUUAAAGGGAGCGUAGGUGGAUUGUUAAGUCAGUUGUGAAAGUUUGAGGCUCAACCGUAAAAUUGCAGUUGAAACUGGCAGUCUUGAGUACAGUAGAGGUGGGCGGAAUUCGUGGUGUAGCGGUGAAAUGCUUAGAUAUCACGAAGAACUCCGAUUGCGAAGGCAGUUCACUGGACUGCAACUGACACUGAGGCUCGAAAGUGUGGGUAUCAAACAGGAUUAGAUACCCUUGUAGUC
rnacentral:rRNA from 1 species